rnacentral:lncRNA from 1 species
UCAUUCAUUCAAAGACUAAAAGUGGCUGUGGAUGUUGCUCAAUGUCUGUUAUACCUUCAUGAUAGAGGCCUGCCACAUGGAAACCUAAAGCCUACAAACAUACUCCUGGCAGGUCCUGAUUAUGAUGUUCGCCUCACGGAUUACGGUCUACACCGCCUUAUGACCGCAGCUGGCAUUGCGGAGCAGAUACUGAAUCUGGGAGCACUUGGGUACCGUGCCCCGGAACUCACUACUGCAUCAAGGCCAGCUCCCUCAUUUAAGGCUGAUGUGUAUGCACUCGGUGUAAUCCUAAUGGAAUUGUUAACAAGAAGAAGUGCCGGUGACAUAAUAUCUGGCCAGUCGGGAGCUGUGGAUCUCACCGACUGGGUUCGGCUCUGUGAUCAAGAAGGGCGUGGAAUGGACUGUAUCGACAGAGACAUUGCUGCCGGUGAAGAACCCUCAAAAGCAAUGGAUGAUUUGCUAGCCAUAUCUAUCCGGUGCAUUCUCCCUGUAAAUGAAAGGCCUAACAUCAAACAAGUCUAUGAUGAUCUCUGUUCUAUAUCUGCAUGAAAUUUUGUACAUGUGUCUUGGAAUUAUUUUUUUACCUUGUUCCUUGACCAAUCCUUGUUUUUUUAUCCCCUAUUUUUUUCCUCCCAUUAAUUGGUUUCUGGCCUUUCGAUUACAGGCUAAUCAUCUACUCUUUUGUUUUUUUUUUGGGUCUCACCGAAAAUUUUCUUGUAAAGAAACAUCCCCAUUGAUUAUUUUAACAGUGUUUUGAGUUUGAUCCUCCAUUGAAAAUGGUCUGAGUGUGCUCACUUUGUUCAAUGACAGGAGAGGCAUCAUAGUUCCUUGUGCGAAACAAAGGGGCAAAAUUUCCAAAAUUAUUUGCACAUUCUGCAAUAUUCAUUCUGUUUUCUUGUUACUCAUCUAAUUAUUGAUCUAAACACUGUUCAUUAGCCAAUCGAAUCUAGCAUUCUUGAGAUUUUAAGGCACGUUCUUUUGAUUAUUACAAUUAGAGCUCAAUGCAAGCCCAACAGGUCAGCAGAGGAAAUGAUGAUAAAAUAAAUUCUCUCAACCAAACCGGAAACUCGAUCGCUUCAACGAAAUUAUGAAAAUAAUAAUAAGAAAUGAAAUUUAUAAAAGUAAUUAUAAAAAUUAUUUGAAAAUAAGUAAAUAGUAAAAAUCAUCUCGUACUCAAGUUCGAUUAAUAACAUAAAGAAAGAAAUUUUUUUUUGGAUGAGAUUUUUUAUUACGUCCAAGUUUUUUUGCAAAAAUAAUAAAAUAAUAAAUAUUUAUUUUCCGUUAUAAAUAAAAGUAAAAUGUGAGGCUCCAUCGUUUUAAGAAUAGACACAUAAAUCUUACACAAACCAAAAUGAUAUUUGUAUUUAUUAAAACUUUAUUUUAAGAAGUUUUUGUGGCUCUUUUAAUAGUGUUUGCAUUUUUUUUUAAAAAUAGACAAAAAUUUUACAAUUUUUUAUUUAAAAAACAACUUUAUGCAUUUUCUCUCCACUUCUCAAAAAAAAAAAAAAAAAAAAAAAACGCAUUCCUCCUCAAUUACCUAACAGAAACCCUAAACAUUCCCAAAUCACGAGCCCUUGUGAUUUCAAACAAAUACUCUUACAUUAAGUCACCCGAAAAACCAGAAACUGUGCGUCAAUAUUUCCAUAACGUUGGAUUCUCAGAUACCGAAAUUCAAUUGGCAGUUAGUGCAUCACCCCAUAUUCUCUUCUCUGAUGUUGACAAAACCCUAAAACCAAAGAUUGAACUGCUGUACCGUACAUCCGCCUUGGCCGUACAGCAGAUUUACUUGAUUCUAGCUGUUAGUUUAGAGAAAAAAUUUGAUUCCAAUUGUUGAAAUUCUUAAGAAAAUAUUAGUGAAUGAUACUAAUGAUGAAUAUCUCAUCCGUGUUGUUAGUAGAUGGAACGGGAUUCUUAAAAUUCACCCUGAGAAAUCGGGGUUGCUAAGAAACAUUGAAUACUUCAGAAAUUGUGGCAUUGUUGGGUCUCAGCUGUCAGUGCUAUUGGUGAGGCAACCUAGGCUAUUUUUUUAUGAGGAAUUGAAACUUAGACACCUUGUUUCACGGGUUUUAGAUAUGGGAUUUUCAACCAAAUCGAGGAUGUUUGUUUAUGGAUUUCAUGCACUUAGUUGCGUGAGUGAAGAAACAUUUGAUAGAAAAUUGGAAUUGGUUAGGAGCUAUGGAUUUUCCAAAGAAGAAUUCAUUGAAAUGUUUCGAAAGGCACCUGGUAUACCUAAGUUGUCAGAGGAGAGGUUAAAGUUGGGACUUGAGUUCUUUCUGAAAGAGAUUGAAUGUGAAAAGUCAGUGUUGGUUCGCGUUCCGAUUUGUUUAGCAUGUAGUAUUGAAAAUCGGGCAAUUCCUCGAUAUAGGGUUUUUCAAAUUAUUAUGUCCAGGGGGAUGUUGAGGAAGGAAUCUAGUUUUCCUUCAACACUGCUUUUAAGUGAGAAAAACUUCUUGAAGAAGUUUGUGUUGAGGUUUGGAGAUGAUGCAGAGGAGUUGUUGCUAGCUUACAAGGGCCACGGUUUGGGCAUAAGUUUGGGCAUAAGUUAACUAUCGCCUAUUGGAAUCUUUGAGUCAUUAGCAUUAACUGUUUCAAUGAGAGUUGCUGUUCUAUUUCGAGAUCAGACAGAGAAGGAUUUGAGAGUGUAGUUAAAAGUUGAUGAACAAGGGGAAAUCUCCAGUGGUUUCACUUAAUGAGGUUGCAUGAGAGUUUGGCGAAGGUUCACUGGCCGUUCUAUGUGGUAGCAUAUAGAAGAAGAGAUUAAAGCCUUGAACGAGAAGUCAAUUACCCUUAAACAAGCAAAAGAAAUUUUGAGAAGCGUAAGUUCUGGUACUAACAUCAGACAAGUCUAAUUUUAUGAUAUGUGUAUCUAUUUGCUAGAGAAUUUGUACAAGCAUAAGAAAGUUUCCCUACUGCGGUAAAUGAUUAUGGAUAUAUUCCUUCAAAAUUGUUUUGUCUCAUGGGACGUUGUCUGUAUGCACAUCAUUUCGAUCUCUUAGAUCAUUUUAAUUUUCCAAAUUAUUCCUAUCCUAGUCGCAGUAGAAAGAUAAGACUGAACCAACUGAAUUGUUUGUGAAUGCACCCUGACUACGAAAUUUUUGGGCAAUAACCAAUUUUGCUCGUGCCAGCUAGCAAAAAAGAAGAAAUUAGGAGAGUGGGGUUACAGAUUUUUUGCACGUGCUUGAAAAUUAAGCAAAUUUAGGUUAUUCUACGUGUUUUGUUCUGGCAUAGGUUUUUUUUAUAUUAUUAUUUGUGAAAUUUUUUCCUUAUUCUUUUUACCUUUAAACAAAUGUUCAAUUUGGUAUUGCAGUGCUGUAAUUCCUAAAUCAUAGCAGCUAGCUCUAGAAAUAAAAAUGUAUAGUGUUUGGUAAAAUAUGAUUUUUAAGUCAUAAUUGUGACAAAAAUAGUAAGGGUAUUGCAACUCUCAAAACUGAAACACACCUGUCCCCAAAAUGCCCAAAUUCCAAAAGCUUUGCAAUCAAAUCCCAUUUCUCAUUUUUUUUCUCCUCUUUCGGAAACCCAAAAUUCUAACACAUUCCUCCUCAAUUACCUCAUCGAAACCCUAAAAAUUCCCAAACCACGAGCCCUUGUAAUCUCAAAAAAAAUACUCUCGCGUUAAAUCCCUAGAAAAACCACAAAUUGUACGUCAGUUUUUAGUAAAAUGUUGGAUUCUCUGAUACUCACAUUCAAGUGACAGUUAAUGCAGAACCCCGAAUUCUAUUCUCUGAUAUUUGACAAAACCCUUAAACCAAAGAUUGAAUUUUUCCGGCAUCUGGGUUUCAUGGUUUUUGAUUUGGGUAAUUUUGUUUCCAAAAAUCCAUGUCUUUUAACUGCUAGUUUACAGGAAAAAAAAAUGAUUCCAUGCAUUGAAGUUCUUAAGGAAAUAUUAGUGAAUGAUACUAAUAAUGAAGAUACCAACGAAACAUUGAAUUCUUAAAAAAUUGUGGCAUUGUUGGGUCUCAGCUGUCAAAUUUAUUUUGUAGUGCAACCUAGGCUAUUUUGUUAUGAGGAAUUUAGACACCUUAAUUCACGGGUUUCAGAUAUGGGAUUAUCAACAAAAUCGAGGAUGUUUGUUCAUGGAUUGCAUGCACUUAGUUGCAUGAGUGAAGAAACAUUUGAUAUAAAAUUGGAAUUAUUUAGGAGUUAUGGAUUUUUCCAGCGAAGAGUUCGUUGAAAUGUUUAGAAAGACACCUAAAAUUGAUUAGGUUCUCCGAGGGGAGGUUAAAGACGGGGCUGGAGUUCUGUUUGAAAAAGAUUGAAUUUGAAAAGGCAGUGUUGGUUCGUUUUCCUAUUUGUUUAGCAUGUAACAUUGAAGAUCGGGUGAUUCCUCGAUAUAGGGUUUUUCAAAUUAUUAUAUCAAGAGGGAUGUUGAAGAAGGAAUGUAGAAUGCUGCUUUUGAGUGAGGAGAAUUUCUUUAGGAAGCUUGAAGAUGAUGCAGAGGAGUUGUUGCUAACGUACGAGGGCCACAGUUUGGGUUCUUCUUUGAAAGAGGAAUCUUGAUACAAUUAUACAAGUUUCAAUAUGCUAACUAUGGCCUAUUGGGUCUUUGGGUCAUUAGCAUUAACUAUCGUAAUGAAAGUAGUUGUUUUGCCCCCACACAAACUCUCAAUGUUGUUGUAUUUCGAGAUCUGACAAAGAAGGAUCUAUGUGUAGUCGAUAGUUGACGAAAAGGGAAAUUUUUUUUACAUUCAAUGAUGCCCUUCGUUGAUUUUCGCUUGAUGAGUUACGAUGAGAGUGUUCGUAGACAGUUCACUGGUCGUUUGGUGUGUUAGCAUGUAGAAGAAGAGAUCAAAGCAUCGAACCAAAAGUGAAUUACCCAAUGAACUAGCAAAAGGGAUAUUGAGAAGUGUAAGUUAUGUUGCUAACAUCGAACAAGUCUAAUUUGAUGAUCUCUGUUCUGGUAUAGCUUUAAAAUUUGUACAUGCCUAAAAAAGCUUCCCUGCUACGCAUACAAAUUAUGGAUUUUUCUUUCAAAAUUUUUUUAGUAGAGCUCUUCGAGCUCUUUUUUUUUUUUUAAUAUUGUUAUACAUGAUUGUUACUGAUAUUACAAUUAAUGUUUACAAACAGAUUAUACAACUGAGACCUUUUUCUUGGCAUGUACUCUUCUAAACCUCAUUAUUAUUGGUAUUACAUCAGAUAUUACAAUUAAUGUUUACAAACAGAUUAUACAACUGAAGCAUUCUUCUUGGCAUGUACUUUUCUGAACCUAUGCGUAGAUUUUUUUAAAUAUUUUCUAAUAUUUGAGGGUGUCCAUCCCACUCACAUUUCUUGAGAAAGAAAUUGUUUCCACUCAAUUAUUUAAGAGUAAUGAUACAGCCACAAACUCUUGUACAAACUUAUUUUGUACAAACUGAUGUGGCAUGAUAAGAUUGGUUGAAUUAAAUAUCACUUGGCCCACAUGAUUUGUUUUUAUUAAUUUUUAAUAAUUAAGGGAGGAAUGAAACUAACCUCCAUAAUGCUUUUAUGGAGGCUCGAACCCCUUACUCUCAACAUUAUAAGUGUAAGGACUCUCCGUCAAAGGCCCAUUGGUGCUAUUCGAGCUCUUUAGUUUGUCACAUCAGACCCUGACGGCCCAUAUCUAUCUGCAUACCAAUUAAAUCUCUUAUGGUGCAUUUAUUAAAUGAGAAUAGAAAUGAGAUGAAAUCAGAAUGGGCAGAAAUCAGAAUGGAUUGAAAUGAGAGAAGAGAGUAGGAAUAUAAAUAAAUUUUUUACUUGAACUAUAAGAAUCAGAAUCAGAAUGAGAUGAAUUGUUAUUAAUGUGUUUACAAAUGAGUUAAAUUGUUACAAAUUAUUAAAAAAUCUUUAAUUAAUUAUUAUUAUAAUAAUUAUUUUAUAUUUUAAUUAUCGUGAAUAUCUACUCAAGAAUUACUAUUACUAUUACUAUUAGUAUUAUUAUUAAUUAUUAUUAAUAAUAUAUUAAUUUAUGAAUUAAUUCUAAAUUUUUUAUCAUUGACAAUGAAGAUAAUAAUAAUAUUAACAUUAAUAAUUUAUUAAUUAUAAUUUAUCAUCAAGAAGAAGCGAAGAAGAAGUAUGAGGAAGAGGCUAAGUCAGCCGAAGAGCUCAUUAAUGACAAGAAUGAAACUUUCACCCUCACUACAAAAUACUUGAGCCAUAACCAUUUCUUGCUGAGAUGGAAGAAACAAGAGACACUGUUGUUAUAGUUUAAUUUUUGCAUGUGCUUGAAAAUCAUGCUAAAUUAUUGUUAUUCUCAAUAGGGGGUUGAUUGUGGAGUCAUGCACCUGAUAGUGCCAGAUUACAUGCGUUUACUUUUCUUUUCUUUUCAAAAAAAAAAAAAAAGAUUACAUGCGUUUCUCAUUGGAAGAUGUGGGCUCUAGCUCUACUGCUCAAUUCCUCCCCAUAAAAGUUUAACACGUGUGUAGUCGCGCACGUGAUCGCGCUUCUCACAAUUGGACCUGGUAUCACUUGCUAGUAAAUCUUGAAGGGAAUCUCUUAAGUUGGCAUUUAGCAUUUGCUAAUGUUUUGGUAAUGUUUAAACAAGAAAACAAAAAUAAGCCUUCAAUGAUCUUCUUGUUGUGUCUAUUUUAUUUGAACUGUAAAUCUGCCCUUGCCCUUUGCAAGUUGGUUUUAGUCUGCUUGUCACGAAUCAAUCAACAAACCUGUGACAUGAAAGUUUGAAAUUAAUCAUUAAUAGACGUGUCAACUGCGAAAGUGGCGAUUUUUAAGCGCUAUCGCCGCCAUCGGUCCUGUAAAACUACCCGUGUUGAGGAACAUUUUGGUCCGUAAAAGAGUUUUUGGCUAUAUAAUGAACAUUUGGUCAAAUUUGCCGCCGUAAAAACCCUUCACCCUUCUUCUGUUUUUUGUUCAUUUAAACCCUAGAAACCCCAGUCUCUUAAAAGCCAAAACUGAAAACACCGCUAGCCCCAAAAUGCGGAGACUCAAUUCAUUUCCAAAUACCCAAAACUUUGCAAUCAAAUCCCUUUUCUCAUUCUUCUCUUCACUUUCGAAGACCCAGAAUACAACCCCCAUCCUCCUUAAUUACCUAAUCGAAACUCUAAAAAUCCCCGAAUCACGAGCCCUUGUGAUCUCAAACAAAUACUCUCACAUUAAAUCCCUAGAUAAACCGCAAACUGUGCGUCAAUUUUUCCACAAUGUCGGAUUAUCGGAUAUCCACAUUCAGCUGGCAGUUAAUGCAACACCCACAAUUCUAUUCUCCGAUAUUAACAGGACCCUUAAACCAAAGAUUGAGCUUUUUCAACGUUUGGGUUUUGUGGGUUCUGAUUUGGGUAAGUUUGUUUCCAAAAAUUCAUUCCUUUUUUGCUGUUAGUUUGGAGAAAAAAUUGAUUCCAUGUGUUGAAAUUAUUCAGAAAAUAUUAGCGGAUCGUACUACUAAUCAAAAUUUGAUUGUGUUGUUAGUAGAUGCAACUGGAUUCUCACAAGGGACCCGGAGAAAUCAGGGCUAUUAGGAAACAUUGAAUACUUGAAAAGUUGUGGCAUUGUUGGUUCUCGGUUGUCUACUUUAUUAAUGAGGCAAACUAGGCUAUUUUGUUUUGAGGAAUUGAAACUUGGACAGCUUGUUUUGCGGGUUUUAGAUAUGAGAUUUUCAAUUAACUCAAGGAUGUUUGUUUAUGGACUGGAUGCUCUUUGUUGCUUUAGCGAAGAAACAUUUGAUAGAAAAUUGGAUUUAUUUUAGAGUUAUGGAUUUUCCAAAGAAGAGUUCAUGGAAAUGUUUCGGAGGGCACCUGGAAUACUAAGGUCGUCUGAGGAGAGUUUAAAGUCGAGACUUGAGUUCUUUCUGACAGAGAUGAAUUUAAAAAGUCGGUGUUGGUUCAUAAUCCGGUUUGUUUAACGCUAAGUAUAGAAAAUCAAGUGAUUCCUCGAUAUAGGUUUUUUCAGGUUUCAAUGGCCUUCCCUUUUAAAUUUCAACUCAAAUGUUCAACGCCCACCAACUUCCCCGAGCUUCUCAAAUGAUCACUUGCUUACUUCAAAUUCAAGAUCAUUAUAUGGGCAGGCAGAGUUUAUAACAGAAAUUAUUGAGCAAACUGAUGGAGGGGCUGCCAGUUCGGCAUCCGUGAAUCCUAAUUUGCUUGAUAAUCAUCCUGUAACUUCUGGAAGAAAGUCGUCUCUAGGUUCCCCAUUGUCUUCCUCACCCCAUUUCAUUGAGGUCUGCGAGCAGCCUGUGAGGUUGGAUGUGUGUUCACCAGAUCGGUUGGCUGGGGAACUGUUCUUCCUGGAUGCUUCACUAGCAUUCACUGCUGAAGAAUUAUCUCGAGCCCCUGCAGAAGUGCUUGGCAGAAGCAGCCAUGGAACUCUCUAUAAAGCCACUCUAGAUAGUGGGCAUAUGUUGACUGUGAAAUGGUGGCGGGUGGGACUGGUAAGACAUAAGAAAGAAUUUGCUAAGGAAGUUAAAAAAAAAAAGAUCUAUGAGGCAUUCAAAUAUUGUUCCGUUGCGCGCGUAUUAUUGGGGGCCUGGAGAACAGGAGAGGCUUCUUCUUGCAGAUUAUAUCCAGGGAGACAGCUUGGCCCUACAUCUUUACGGUAAGAAUUCAAAGGACAUUUUUAUCUUGUCUUUUAAUCAUUAUUCCCUACCAACUUUCCGGAGUUCUUUUGUCAUAGUUCAGCCAACUUUCUUUGUUAUAACUAUUGUCUGAGUUCUGAAUGAGGAUGCUUUGCUCUAAAUGCAUGUUGAUGCUGCAUGGCGUAUCGUUUUUCUUUACUCUGUAGUGUGACAUUCAUGUCAAAAUGGUUUAAAUAGAUGUUGGAUUUCAUUAUCGUGGCAAGUCUAGUUAAAGAAGGCUUGAGAGCUUGAAGCGGAGUUGGCAUAUUAGGUUUUUGUUAAGUUAAUUGCUCGUUUUGUUGAACCUUCCACAGUCUCAACCCUCAGGGUGAAUGUCAUAUACAAGCUUCUUGAAUAUGGUCUUUACAUAGAGAGCCUCUAUUUCUCUAAUGGGGGACAUUGCAAGCUGUGAUGAAGUUGGAUAGUUAUAUUGGUUUAACUUUCAUUUUACUUCUUUCAUGGGGAAUAACCGUUUUUCCUAGCUGAUUUAUAUACAUGUGCUUCAUAAUGUACAUGGACUUCUCUCUAACAUUUUGUAUUAUUUGAUCCACAUAUGUGGCAAUGCAGAGACUACUCCUUGGAGGUACUCCCCAUUGUCAUUCAUUCAAAGGCUAAAAGUGGCUGUGGAUGUUGCUCGAUGUCUGUUAUACCUUCAUGAUAGAGGCCUGCCACAUGGAAACCUAAAGCCUACACACAUACUCCUGGCAGGUCCUGAUUAUGACGUUCGCCUAACGGAUUACGGCCUACACCGCCUUAUGACCCCAGCUGGCAUUGCGGAGCAGAUACUGAAUCUGGGAGCAC